ensembl:lncRNA
GUAGAGCAGGGCAGGGUAAGUGGGGACAAGGGACUCGGGGCCCAGCCUGCCCCACCCCAUGGUGGGUCCCAGGUGAGGCCCAGUAGGCUGCUGUGGCCAAGGGACAGGUACAGAGAAAGGACAGUAAGGGGUUGGCACCUGCCAGAGGCCACCAGGACUAGAGACGCCAGGUGGCCAGUUGGAUCCAGCCUCACUCGGAUGAUGCCAUUGUCCAGAGUCACAGAACCAUCAGUCUUGGGUGGGAGGAACUUUGAGGCUGAGCCUGCAAGGGCUUCCCACAACCAGGGGCCUCCUGCCCCUAGCUCCAGCCUGUUGGUUCCAGGUUCAGGAGCACCUAGGACAGCCCUCCGCCUUCCCGGGAGCUGCAAGACUUACCUCCUGCACCACGAAUACUGGCUGCUGGAGCGGCAGGGGCUGUGGUGAGGUGGGAGCAGGUGCAUAGCCCAUGCUAGGCACGGUCACCAAGGCUGGAAGUGAGGCCCAGCCAUUAGCACCACCCACUAACCAUCCAGACACCUCCCUAAGGUCAGGGCAGGAUGGUGAAGGAUGUGGCUCCUACCCCACGGCAUGAGGCACCCCGAGACCCCCUAGAGACCCCCAGGGGAGUGCGCUUUUCCUAGUCUUAUGGCCUGAGUUCCUCCCCUCUGCUCCUACCCAGGCUCUGGGCACCCCCAGGCUUGGGCAGGGUCAGCACUUCUGUGCGCUUCCAGGGCAGUGUGUUGACCACCAGGAGGCCCUCAGGCCCAGGCUCCCUGGCACAUAGGGCACCAGCCGCAGUGCUGAGCAGUGUGUUGCCAUGGGGAACGGAUGUCUGGGGAAAGAGGGAAUAGUCAGUCUUAGGGCAAUGGGUCUGGGGUGACCCGUCUGGGCUGCUGGGUACAGGAAGUGGGCACUUUGGGCCAGAGCCAGGCUGCUGAGCAGCUCAGCAUCGUGCAGGAUCCGCUCACAUUCUCGGUUUCCCUUCUUGAUCUAUUCCCGGGGAGGGUGGGUGAGUCUGGGCUCGGCCUGAAUAGCCCAGGAUACCCCAGAGCCACUUGAGCUCAGAACCCCUCUGGCCACUCCACCCAGCACUUCUCCUCCAGCACCCCAGGGCCCUAGCCCUUGCACAUCUCUCCUCGGGACAGGCGCAAAUAGUCUGCUCUUGCCUCGCUCCCCGGACCACUGCAGACCUGGGCAAGGGUGGUGUAGGUGCCAUUGUGCAGCUCCAGGAAGAGCUCCCCGACCCAUGUGCACAGCUGGCCUUGGUCACUCUCCAGCGCCUCGAAGAGCUGGCCCGGAGAAGACAGCUGCACCCUGAGGGAGACCACAGCCUGGGCCUCACCAUUUUCCACUCCGAGAACACUGACAAGAGGUACAGCCCCAACAGGGAGCCCCCUGCAGACCUCCCUGACACACAGCACUGGCUCUGGAAACUCAGGAACCACCCUCUCUGGUGGGCUCAGGCACCUGACCACCAUGGUGGUCCCCCCUACCCCCCAGGUGGGAGCCUGGAGGAAUCGGCGGGCUGGGCUUGGAGGAGGACGAGGUUGGGUGGAGGGGCUGAGCCUAGUGCAGGAGCAGAGGGCAGGCUUGAGGCCAGGGCUGAGGUGGCUACACGAGAGCCAGGCCUGACCUGGGUAGCCCGUCAGUGUUGCCCAGGCGCCUCAAGCGGUCCAGCAUGGUCUGAGUCGGGCCACCGCCCCCAUCACCGAAGCCAUAGAGGAAGGCACUGUGGUUGGCCCGCCCCUUGUCCCGGUUGUUGCUCACAGUCUUCAGCACCUGGAUAGAGGUCAGUGAGUGUGGGCCCACCUAGCCCAGGACGCCUGGCCCUCUCCACCUGGCCCUCACCUGUCCUAGGUGCUCCUCACCUCCUCCACGUUGCCCUGCAUUCCAUAGGAGUCACCAGGUGGGAAGUGGACCAGCACACGAGAGCCAUCCAGCCCCUCCCAGAAAAAGGUGUGGUGCUGGAGCAGGGGAUGGAGGCAGGGGAGAGGCUGGGGUAAGGCUGAAGCAGGGUGGCCUUCCCCACCAGGUCCUCAACCUGCCCUGCCUGCUACAAGAUACUGACGGGAGCCCCACCCUACUCCACUCCCCCAUGAGGAUCUGGUGAUCUGCCAGGUCCCCUCAAUGAGCCUGGGCAGAGGUAAACAGGCCUGCUAUGACCAUGACCCUGGGAUGUGCUCACAGGGAAAGAGUUCACCAAAUUCCAGCUCAACUUCUGGGUCAGGAAGCGCGUGAUGCCACAGCCACGCAUGAUCUGGGGGAGCUGCGCUGAAUACCCAAAUGUGUCCGGCAGCCAGAACUGCAGAGAGAGGGCCACACAGGACCCAGCAUCAGCCCCCAGCACCC